UUGGUAGCCACAACACUGAUGAUUCUC
rnacentral:piRNA from 1 species